GUCCCAGCGCGCGUGCGCCCCUGAAGGCGGGUUCCGGUGGCAGCGCCGGGGUCUCAGACCCUGAGGAGACUGAGCCCAGCGCCAGGCGACCGGUCCCCGCCGCCGCCGCCCCUGCGCGGGAGAUCCCCCCUGCUUAGUCCGCGCCCGAGCCCCCGUCCGUGGGAACAGACAAGGGGCCUCCGCAGCGCCUCACAACCCCCGACCAGGUCCAGCGGCGGGGGACUCGGCCGUGGAGGGCGCUGUUCGGUCUGGAUGGCUCCCCCCAUCAGCGGGAGGCUACACCCCCCACCAGCAGGGGCAAGAGGAGCAGCGGGAUGGGAGCAGGCCAACGUCCUGCGGCCUGGUUGAGCUCGCACUGACAAUCGCAGCUCAGGCGCUCAGGACUGCCAGGACCCAGAGGAUUCACACGCCAGCCCCGGCUGAAGCCCAGCUCCUCAUCAACCGGUGAGCCGCCUGCCAGCUCCUGCUCCAGCUGCUGAGAGGCCUGAAGAGACCAAGACAGAGACACAGCCCCGCAGCACCACAGGGAGGCCCCAGUUACCCCAUGCGGAUGAGUUUCAUGGCCAUCUCUAACUAAGGACAGGACAUCGAUGUCAUCUGUAACUUCCGGUGCACUGGGGCACACAGCUGCAUCUCCCCAUGCUCACCUCCUGCCUCUUGCUCUGCCCAGUGCUGGAGUGCAGUGGCACGAUCUCGGCUCACUGCAACCUCUGCCUCCAGGAUUCAACUGAUUCUCCUGCCUCAGCCUCUCCAGUAGCUGGGAUUACAGGCUUGCACCACCACACCCGGCUAAUUUUUUGUAUUUUUAGUAGAGACGGGGUUUCAACAUGUUGGUCAGGCUGGUCUCAAACUCCUGACCUCAGGUGAUCCACCCACCUGUGCUUCCCGAAGUGCUAGGAUUACAGAUGAAAGCAAUCACGCCCGGCCUAUAUUCAUAUAUAUAUUGAGGGAACGAAGUCACCUCUUCUAGGAAGCCUCCCCUUGCCCAAGAGCUUUGGGCCAACAUCUCUGAGCCCCUGCAGGCUUGAGGACUUCCUCUGCUGGGAUUCUGUGGAGCUGUGUCACCGUGGGUGUUGUCAUUGCCAGUCACUCUUCUGACUCAGCUGCCAGGUCUACGCUCCCUCCCAUGGCCCAGGUGGACUGUGAACCUUCUGGGAGUAGGGCUGUAAUCACUUCAUCCUGGGAUGAGCUCAGCCUGGCAGGAGGCGCUCAAGAUGUGCUACGUGUGGGUAACCCAAGUAAGUAGCCCCCAGUCCCCCAAGACUCAGGAGUCCUGAUCCCCAGCCAGAGGUGCACGGACCCAGCUGACACCAGCCAGCCAGAGCUGAUGUGCACAGCCCCUUCUACCUCUGCACUCCGUGACGCCAGUUCUGACCAGGGGACCCCAAACAAGGUGGAGGACCCCCCUCCGCCUCCGAGCCUCAGCUUCCUCAUCUGUAAGAUGGGGAUGACAGCAGUUCCUCGUCAUCAGGUCAUCAUGAAAGUCAACAAGUUGAGCCGGGGAGGUGGCUCACUCUGUAAUCCCAGCACUUUGGGAGGCUGAGGUGGGCGGAUCACGAGGUCAGGAGUUUGAGACCAGCCUGGCCAAAACAUUGAAACACCAUUUCUACUAAAAAUACAAAAUUAGCUGGAUGUAGUGGUGCAUGCCUAUAGUACCCGCUACUCACCAGGCUGAGACAGGAGAAUCACUUGAACCCGGGAGCGGAGGCUGCUGUGAGCUGAGAUGGCACCACUGUACUCCAGCCUGGGCAAGAAGAGUAAAAUUCCAUCUCAAAAAAAAAAAAAAAGGUCAACAAGUUAUGCCUAUAAAAGAGUUUACUUGACCAGAAGCAGAGGCUCAUGCCUGUAAUCCCAGCACUUUGGGAGGCCGAAGCGGGAGGAUUGCUUGAAUCCAGAAGUUUGAGACCAGCCUGGGCAACAUGGUGAAACCCCACCCCUACAAAAAGUACAAAAAUUAGCUGGGCAUGGUGGCAU
ensembl:lncRNA MMP25-AS1 MMP25 antisense RNA 1